rnacentral:rRNA from 1 species
CCUACGGGUGGCAGCAGUGGGGAAUAUUGGGCAAUGGGCGCAAGCCUGACCCAGCAACGCCGCGUGAAGGAAGAAGGCUUUCGGGUUGUAAACUUCUUUUCUCAGGGACGAAGCAAGUGACGGUACCUGAGGAAUAAGCCACUACUAACUACGUGCCAGCAGCCGUGGUAAUACGUAGGUGGCAAGCGUUAUCCGGAUUUACUGGGUGUAAAGGGCGUGUAGGCGGGACUGCAAGUCAGAUGUGAAAACCACGGGCUCAACCUGUGGCCUGCGUUUGAAAAUGUAGUUCUUGAGUGCUGGAGAGGCAAACGGAAUUCCUAGUGUAGCGGUGAAAUGCGUAGAUAUUAGGAGGAACACCAGUGGCGAAGGCGGUCUACUGGACAGCAACUGACGCUGAGGCGCGAAAGCGUGGGGAGCAAACAGGAUUAGAUACCCGGGUAGUC